rnacentral:misc_RNA from 1 species
CGUUAAAAGAAAGAAAAAAAUAUUUAUCUUCCCACUCAUCCUCCUGUACAAACGAGCGACAAGUCGCUCCGGCUUUAUUUACAUAUUGUUAGCAUUUGAUAGUUAUAUUUAAAGCUAUGUUAAUCCUAUAAUCUUCUAUCAUCAGUGCCGGCGAGUUACUGCUACUGUUACUCUUAGCUGAAUGAGUGUUACAGGUAAACAAUUUAGCUAGAAAAAGAAAAGAAAAAAAGUAUCAUCAUUCGGAUAGGGAAGUUCCCGUUUCGGUAGUGAAUGUCAGUCACGUGGUUUUGUUUGUCGAUUUCAAGGUCAAGAUGGCGGCGGCGGCUGCAGCAGCUGGUGCUAGUGUCUCGCGUUCGGGUCUCUACGAAGUCUAUUUCCGACAACAAUGGUGUUUGGUUUAUGUGUCUCUUACCGAAGAAUCCUUGGUGCUUACCUUGGACGAAAACCCAGACGCUUCAUCCAUUGCCAACGGUGUCAGCAAUGGCGUUUCGGACGUCAACGAGAAAGACACUAGCGGGGCACCGCUGAUGCUCCGUAAUGUCUGCGGUGGACCCUCUCAUUUACCGGAUGGCAUUACUGGACAGAAACGAAUUGUUCGUGUGAUCAAAGAAGAAGCAAACGGGCUGGGUAUUAGCAUAAAAGGUGGGAAGGAAAACAAAAUGCCUAUUUUAAUUAGUAAGAUUUUUAAGAGUAUGGCUGCUGACAAAACGGAGAAAUUGUACGUCGGUGAUGCUAUAAUAUCUGUGAAUGGAGAAGAUUUACGGGAUGCUACACACGACGAAGCUGUCAAAGCAUUGAAAAAGGCCGGUAAAGAAGUCACGCUGGAAGUGAAAUAUCUUCGAGAAGUUACACCAUAUUUUAAAAAGAAUUCUGCUCUAAGUGAAAUUGGCUGGGGCCCUCAAGAAAUCAAAGAUGAUUCUAAAUCAAAUUGGACUGAGUCAAAGCCAAUCCCUUUGAAACUAUGCUAUCUAUGUAGAAAUCAUGAAAUGUCUGAUCCUGAAAAAUUAACAAUUGAACUUCAUUCUCCUGACACAAAGAGUUCCUGUAUUCUUCGUUUUCCUGAUAUUGUCACUGCUCAGGAUUGGUUCAAUGCAAUUUAUUCCAAUAUAGUGUUACUAACAGCCCUGACAAUCAUAGAGGCCAACCAGGUUAUGAGCACUGCACCAAAUCAGAGAGAAAUAAAGCAUAUGGGAUGGUUAUCUGAACAGCUUUUAAAUGAUCAAGGUGCUUCUACUUGGAAACCUGUCUUUGUUGCUUUGACUGAUCAAGAUAUGCUACUCUAUGACACUGCUCCUUGGAGUAAAGAAGAAUGGGCAACACCAUUUCAGAGUCAUUCAUUACUUGCUACUAGACUUGUCCAUUCUGGUCGACAAUACAAUCCAACAACUGAUUCUGACAUUCUCACAUUUGGAACACGUUCAGGAACGCGGCAAGGUAUUGACACACACAUCUUUCGAGUUGAAACACAAAGAGACCUUGCAAGUUGGUCUCGUGCCUUAGUGCAGGGGGCACAUGGUGCUGCUGUGCUUGUUAAAGAAGUUAUAUGUGCUGCUACUUGGAGCAGACAGGAAACUAAGCUGCUGAUUCAUUAUGAAAAUGGUUUGACACUAUUAAAAGAUGAUGAAUUGUCUCAAAAUCAUAUAUUUUGGCAAUAUCCAUUUGAGAAACUUCGGAUGACUGCUGAUGAUGGACACCGCCUGUUAUGGUUAGAUUUUGGUGAAGGAGAGCAUGAGCUUGACCUGCGUACUUGUCCCAAACCUAUUGUGUUUGUUCUUCACACUUUCCUCUCUGCCAAAGUUAGUCGUCUAGGUUUGCUAGCAUAGAACUGCUGCUACUAACUUGGAAAUAAGAGCUGUUUUAUCGAUCACUUCAAUGAUUUUGAGAAUUGCUCUUAUUAUUGAACACUUCACUAGAUGAAUUCUGUGGUUAUCGAUACCAUCACCAAGCUGACAUUAAUUUAUUUACUCUGCAAAUGAAAAUUAGUGAUGAUGGAAUUUUCAGAAUUUUAUCUUUUUUUUUUAAACUUGGCUGAAUUUAACUACAACUUGUAGAUUGUCAAAUAAGGUUACUGUGUCAAUCCUGAUGACAAUCGUUUGCUUUAAGAUGAGAAAGAAAAACUGCUAAAAUCAAAAUAGUUGAAUUGAGUAAAUCUCAGAUGCUGCCAUCCUGUUCAUGUUAUCACCAUCAACUUCAUUAAUUGUAACAUUAAUAUCCAAGACUUUUGCAAGAAUUUAAUUCAUAAUGAUUUGCAUAUUACUUACUCAGUAUAUACAGGGGAAAUGUUAUUCUUUGUAUAGAUGUGUUUGUUGCUGAGAAACUGAUCUGAAAUUUUGUUUUUGUUGAUAAAACUAAUUUUUCUCCUGUAACUAUUUGAACUUCAAGUUUUCACAAUUUCUUUGUAAUUUGGAUUUUGAGCUUCCUAUUCUAGGUUGAUCAACUCACCAUCAAAUUCUCAUCAGAAAUCAGUUUUUAAUUAGGAGGUGUAAUAAAUAAACCUUUCACAUUAGGUUGGCACAAAUACAUAAAGCAGUCUCCAUCUUUUAAUAGGGUUUUAACAGGUAAAGCUGCUUUAUUAAUCAAAGCUUAAUAUCAAGUCAUGGCAGCAGUACUUUACCUCAAUUCUCUAAGUUAAGUCUGAUAAUGUUUUUGGCACCAAACUCUAGAUAAUUUUUAUUUGGCUAUUCCUUCAGGACUCAAUGUAAAUCCUUGACUUGGCUGUCCCACUCACAGAGAAAUCAUGGGUUUUUAUGAACCAUAAAUGCUGACUCAAUACUUUCUGGUACACAUGUAAUGAGUUGGUGGCAUUAAUAAUAGUUGAUUUGUUAAAUUCUGGUAUGUUUCUUUAAAGUGUAAUGAAUUAGGAACUGGUAUUGAUGCAUAUUUAUUAUCAUUUGGAGGAAGUACUCCUUUUAGGUUUCUUUUAGAUGUAUCUAUAAAUAACCUCCAUUCUUCUGCUUUAUAAUCUCUGUAAGUUUUCUGUAUUAGGUUACUUAUACAAUAAAUCAAUUAUUAAUAUUUCUUGAAAUACGGUGCAAACUCUUUUCAUUUUGUAUCAAGGUGAAGUUGUGCCAGGAUGUAAUAUGUUUUUAUUUUUUGAUUGGGACCUGAAAAUCCCAACAGUAUCUUUGAGUGGUUUGAGGUCUCUUACUAAAUGUUUAUUCUGAGAGAAUAUUUCUGUGGAUAAUUGCUUGAACAUGGGACAAUUUAUUUUUGUUGCUGACUGCAUCAUUUUCUUUCUUUAAGAGAUUUUCUACAUAUGUGAAGCUGUCAGAUAAAGAUAAAGUAGAUCAGGCCCAUAUAGCACUAGUUUUGUGGCUGAUGAAAGAUUAGGAUAAACAAUUUUUUUUCUGAUUCCUUUUGAUGUAUCCUUGAAAUUUUCAGGAGCAAAAAUAAUCAAUAGUGACUUUUUUUGUUUGUUUAUUCUCUGUCACUGGGAUACCGUAAUAAAAAACUUACUUUUUUAUCUUCUGUCUUAGUUACCCAACACAAUAUGAGCAGACACACUUUUUGCCCUGUUCAUGAAGUUUUAUUCCAAAGUAGGUUUGUUCUUUUUUUGUAAAAAAAAAAAAAAUGAAUGGUUUAGUUCUACCUCUAUUUUUUUCCAUCACAAAUUUUUGAUGAAUAUAACAAAGAUUAAUGCUAACAUAAUCUCUAGAUGCUAUGAUAACUGUAUAAAACUUAAAUUUGUAAAGAAAAAUUAACUUCAGUAUUCGCAAAUAUUUCACUUAUGAAGAAAAUACCAAUUUCAGGCAUAAUUAGUAUCGUAAUAAAAUAUGCAUAUAUAAAUAAUUAUUUACUUGCAGAAAUUUUAUCAUCCUUGUGCACAUAUAUUGAUAUAUGCAAAAUGAUGG